rnacentral:rRNA from 1 species
AUUGAACGCUGGCGGCAUGCCUUACACAUGCAAGUCGAACGGCAGCAUGGAGAGCUUGCUCUCUGAUGGCGAGUGGCGAACGGGUGAGUAAUGCAUCGGAACGUACCGUGUAAUGGGGGAUAACGUAGCGAAAGUUACGCUAAUACCGCAUACGACCUGAGGGUGAAAGCAGGGGAUCGCAAGACCUUGCGUUAUACGAGCGGCCGAUGUCAGAUUAGCUAGUUGGUGAGGUAAAGGCUCACCAAGGCGACGAUCUGUAGCGGGUCUGAGAGGAGGAUCCGCCACACUGGGACUGGGACACGGCCCAGACUCCUACGGGAGGCAGCAGUGGGGAAUUUUGGACAAUGGGGGCAACCCUGAUCCAGCCAUGCCGCGUGAGUGAAGAAGGCCUUCGGGUUGUAAAGCUCUUUCGGCCGGGAAGAAAUCGCACAGGCUAAUACUCUGUGUGGAUGACGGUACCGGCAUAAGAAGCACCGGCUAACUACGUGCCAGCCGCCGCAGUAAAAC